rnacentral:rRNA from 1 species
CUGGCCUUACGAGGCAUGUGCACGCCCUGCUCAUCCACUCUACACCUGUGCACUUACUGUGGGUUACAGAUCGCGAAACGGGCUCUUCACUGAGCUCGCGGAGCGCACCUGUGCCCGCGUUUAUCACAAACCCUGUAAAGUAUUAGAAUGUGUAUUGCGAUGUAACGCAUCUAUAUACAACUUUCAGCAACGGAUCUCUUGGCUCUCGCAUCGAUGAAGAACGCAGCGAAAUGCGAUAAGUAAUGUGAAUUGCAGAAUUCAGUGAAUCAUCGAAUCUUUGAACGCACCUUGCGCUCCUUGGUAUUCCGAGGAGCAUGCCUGUUUGAGUGUCAUGAAAUCUUCAACUUACAAGCUCUUUGCGGGGUUUGUAGGCUUGGACUUGGAGGCUUGUCGGCCUUGAAUGGUCGGCUCCUCUUAAAUGCAUUAGCUUGAUUUCCUUGCGGAUCGGCUGUCGGUGUGAUAAUGUCUACUCCGCGACCGUGAAGCGUCUGGCAAGCUUCUAACCGUCUCGUUACGGAGACAGCUUUAUGACCUCUGACCUCAAAUCAGGUAGGACUACCCGCUGAACUUAAGCAUAUCAAAA